GUAAAUUGCGUCACUUCUUUCUUCAUUGACCGACGCAAAUGACUAUUACCACUACCACCCACCUAGUGCUUCCUCUCAUUCAAUAUAAAAUACUCUUGCUCCCAUGUCGCUGUUCGAACUUCAAAAUUAAACCCUAGCAAAUUCAACUGCAAAAUCCCCAAAAAUUCAACAUCAAAACCUCAAGAAAUUCGUCCAACCAACCGAUUCCCCAGCGUUGCCUUGUUGUCGUUCGUACUGCAAAACCUACCGAUUUCAACAGCAAAACCCUGAUAAAUUCGACCCAAACCAACAAAUUUGACCCCAAAAUCAACAAAUUCGACCACUAAUUGAAAACCCCAAAAUAUCCAAGCCAAAACCCCCCAUUUUCUAGCAAAUUCGAGGCAAAACACCCCAUUUUUGAGCAAAAAUCGACCCAAACCACCCACGAAAUUCAAACUAUUAAAAUCGUUGAUAUUCGAGAUGAAAUACCCUAAAUUGAGGCUAGUAGGGGAUUGCUGCUUGUUGGUGUUGCUGUUGAUGGUUAGCUGGGGCGGCAUUGGCUGAUUUAUGCGGUGGCAGCACUAUUAAUUGGUGGAGAUUUGGGUGCCGCUGCGGUGGUAAAUUGCUGUUCAAAAGUUGCUGGAGUUCUCACUCGUUCUGCUUUGUUCUAUAAUUUCUCAUUCGUGAGUGAGCUUUUUAAUUUCUCAUUUUAUGUAAACCUUGACUUCACAAAAUCUAUCACAAUUUCACGGUAUUUUGAGCAAUUGUUCUUGUUUAAUCGAGUGUUUGUAUCUAGAUAUAAAGUUUGAUUAGUGAAUUACUUGGUGCAUGUGUAGCAAGUGGCUUGUGGUCGGUAGUGAGUGCGGUGGUGUGGCUUGGUGCAGCGAGCAAUUUGUUGUUGAAUUGUUUGUGAAUUGCAGGGGAUAAUGUUAAGGUUUCUCUCUUAUAUUCAGAGUAACUCUAAUGUUAUUGUUAUUCGAUGAAUUUUCUUGUUUAAUUGUUCUAUAAUUUGAGAUAUUAUAGUUAAUUUCUUACUUUAUUUAUCUCAUAUUAAAGGUAAAUUAACAUUACAAUUGAAGUGGCAUAAUCUAAUUCUUCAUUAAUUACCGAAUAUCGGUUCCACAAUCUAGAGUUUCAUUAUACACUCUUGCUAAUCUAAAUUUCAGUAUACUCAACUUGUGGCAUUUCUAAGGUGGAGUUUGAACUACAUUUAUGAUUUCACUAGCUUUAUAGUUAAAUAUAUAUUUUCGUUUGAUUCUAUGUAUUCUUUGAUGUUGUAAUAAAGCUAUAUUUUUUCAAUACAUGUAUUGGGUUAUGAAAGUGUAUGACAUGAAGUUCUUGAAGAAUAAGGUUACAGUACUUACAUAUAGCAUAGGCUUGAUUACAUUAGUUAAUUGAUUUUCGUGUGGUGAAAUACUUGGUGCAAGUGCAGCUGAUGGUUGGUGGUUAGUGGCGGUGGUGUGGCUUUGGUGCAGCGGCAAUUUGUUGCAGAGAGCUUUUUUGUUGUUGAGUUGUUUGUAAAUUGCAGAGGAGAAGUGACAUAAAAAAUUGGGAGGAUGUGAGAUAUGGAUACUAUGUCAUGUGCUAUACGUUUGAAAUAGUUCAACAUCAUCGUAAUAUAAUGAGGACCUUAUUAUAGUUUAUUUAGAACAAUACCUUAUACUGGGGAGGAGAUAAAUGUGGUUCAAGAUAUUUGGUCAGACAAUUUUAUGAGCAAUGUUGAAAUUUAGAAUUUAACUUAGCUAACUCCAUUUAUUUGUUAGACUUUUUUUGUUUAGUUCUUAGGCUUGAAAUGAAUGUAAUUCUGUUACCAACAUUUUGGGUUGGUCUUUGUUCUUGUGUUGGUUAAUGAUACCAAUCAUUUUGAGUUGUAAA